AUUGAACGCUGGCGGCAUGCCUUACACAUGCAAGUCGAACGGUAACAGGGACUUCGGUCCGCUGACGAGUGGCGAACGGGUGAGUAAUAUGUAGGAAUAUACCUAUAGGUGGGGGAUAACUACUCGAAAGAGUAGCUAAUACCGCAUAAUAUCUACGGAUUAAAGCAGGGGAUCGCAAGACCUUGUGCCAAUAGAACAGCCUACAUCCGAUUAGCUAGUUGGUAGAGUAAAAGCCUACCAAGGCAACGAUUGGUAACUGGUCUGAGAGGAUGAUCAGUCACACUGGAACUGAGACACGGUCCAGACUCCUACGGGAGGCAGCAGUCGAGAAUUUUUCACAAUGGGCGCAAGCCUGAUGGAGCGACGCCGCGUGGGGGAUGAAUGGCUUCGGCCCGUAAACCCCUGUCAUUUGCGAUCAACCGUUAUCAUUUAACAGACGAUAACCUGAUAGUAGCGAAAGAGGAAGGGACGGCUAACUCUGUGCCAGCAGCCGCCGUAAUAC
rnacentral:rRNA from 1 species